UCCCCAAAGCCCCCCGGUACAUAGUUGUGUAUUCUUCGUUGUGGGUUCUUCUAGUUGUGGCAUGUGGGACGCUGCCUCAGCGUGGUCUGAUGAGUAGUGCCAUGUCCACGCCCAGGAUUCGAACCAACAAAACACUGGGCCGCCUGCAGCGGAGCGCGCGAACUUAACCACUCAGCCACGGGGCCAGCCCCGAAAGAAUUCUAUUCUUGAAGGGAUUUUUUGUAUGUGUUUCUUUAGAAGGCGCCUAGGCUUAGCAAGCCACACAAAAAAAGUCAGAACUAUUAAAUCUUUGAUUGAUCGAGUACUUUUGACACAAUCAGGUCCUUGGGAAUGAGGACUAUACUCUGAAAUUAAAAAGAGCCAUUGUUACUAAGCCUGUUCAGGGAUCAAACAUGCAUUUUUAAAAAAGUAUUGUGAUUCUGUUCGGAUCAUAUUUGCCACUCAAGGAAUUGCUCACCACUGAAGGUUUAUCUGAAUCUAGCGACCUGACACCCUGUCCAAGCCGAUGGGGGUCAGAGGGGAAACACUGCUUGUUUCUGCAAAGCUUAUUGGUCACUGCCGUUGAUCUGGUCCUGAGAGGUUUGGUUUCUACCAGUAAAACAGAACAUUAAACUAAAAGUCCAACAACCACCCUUGCCCCCUUGUCCCUCAUCCCACAAUGGACUCUAAAGUACCAUGAGACAUUGUUAAGUUAAAAAUAAUCGAAGAAAUGGAAUCGACUUAAAGCAAAAUCUUCACUGUUUAAAUUAUGUGAAUAUUUUUUGUGGAGACAUUAUCCCUUAGUUGAACAAUUGCUAAUCCUGGUGUUUAAUUCAUGUUUGGUGAUGACAAUUUAGGGCAGCAGGAGAGAAUGGAAGGCAGCGUGUUGUUGUGUUGGGUUCAUGACAAAGGCUGCAGCUGUGAAUCGUACACUUCAAGCUCUCCAUCCCAUUACAUACGUUCCACGCGACAUGAGAAAUCAUGUGUGCCUUCAGAACAGUGAUACUGUGUGAACCUGAGACGCUGACAGCUGGCAGUGACUCGUCGGGACAGGAAAACCAUUCCCUGCUCUAGAACAGUGGUUUUCAAUUCUGGAGCCAUCCGGAAAGCUAUAACGAUGUUGAUUUAAUUGGUCUGGGGUGAGCCUGGGUGUUGAAGUUGCAAGAGUCCGCCCCGCCCCGUCUCGGUGGCCCUAAGAUGCAGCCAAGUUCAGAGCUGGACAAGCCAUGGGAAAAUGGGAAAAAUAAAG
rnacentral:lncRNA from 1 species